GCCCGGGUAGCUCAGCCUGGAUUAGAGCACCACACUCCUAAAAUAUGGGGCAAUGUGGGGGUCGCAGGUUCAAAUCCUGUCUCGGGCG
rnacentral:tRNA from 1 species